rnacentral:lncRNA from 1 species
AUGGCAUCCGGUUUUGGACGAGUGGCUGGAGUUCAGCUCAGUAUCCACCAUCUCAAGAGUGCUCAUAUUGGUGAUCUUGUUUUUGCCGAGGCUGUACCUGUCAAUAUUGGCAAAACUAUUCAUGUUUGGGAAGUUUGUAUUUGGAAGAUUGAUCCAAACAAUGAAGAAAACAAGACUUUGAUAGCAUCAUCAAGAGUCACCCUUAAGGCCAACAUGUCUGUACCUGAAAAUGCUAAAGAUGCUGCUGUCAAUCUCAAGAAAUAUGCUAAGUUAUGAUCAGGUUUAAUUGAGUUCGAUUGCAGCAUAUUUGAUUGUAAGCAAAACUAUACAUAACCUAAUUGUGAAGAAAGAUAAAGAGAUGGGCUAAUCAAUUUGGAGUUUGAUGCUCCAUCAAUAAUUAAUGGAUACCGUAAUUAAUUUGUUUCACUCUCUUGCUUUUACUGUAUUUAUUGAGAUACUAUCUUUGGCAAGUAUGGGAGCACAUAUGGCAUCCGGUUUUGGACGAGUGGCUGGAGUUCAGCUCAGUAUCCACCAUCUCAAGAGUGCUCAUAUUGGUGAUCUUGUUUUUGCCGAGGCUGUACCUGUCAAUAUUGGCAAAACUAUUCAUGUUUGGGAAGUUUGUAUUUGGAAGAUUGAUCCAAACAAUGAAGAAAACAAGACUUUGAUAGCAUCAUCAAGAGUCACCCUUAAGGCCAACAUGUCUGUACCUGAAAAUGCUAAAGAUGCUGCUGUCAAUCUCAAGAAAUAUGCUAAGUUAUGAUCAGGUUUAAUUGAGUUCGAUUGCAGCAUAUUUGAUUGUAAGCAAAACUAUACAUAACCUAAUUGUGAAGAAAGAUAAAGAGAUGGGCUAAUCAAUUUGGAGUUUGAUGCUCCAUCAAUAAUUAAUGGAUACCGUAAUUAAUUUGUUUCACUCUCUUGCUUUUACUGUAUUUAUUGAGAUACUAAUAUAUCGCAUCUAAUUCCAAAUUCAAUAGUAUUUCUGGGGUCCAAAUAUGUCCUAGGUACUUUCCUUUUUAGUUUGUUCUAAAAUAAAUAUUAUAUUUCUAAAUUUGAAAAUAAUUUCUUUUUAGUUUGUUCUAAAAUAAAUAUUAUAUUUCUAAAUUUGGAAAUAAUUCAACUUUAAACUUUAAUUUUAUCCUUUUUAUCCUUAUGAGAAGUUUUUAUCGCCACAUAAAUGAUACGACACCGCAAUCCUUUUACCCCUUGCUGCUUCAAACAUUAACAAUAUGAACGAAACGGAGGCAGUAUAUCUUUUCUCCGAGUAUGAAGAUUGGAAGGGACAAACCACAAGCCAACUAAGGGCCGACCAUUAAGUUUACCCUUACAUUAAUAUACCAAUCAAGGUAAUGUUUUCCACCUACCACGCACUUUACCCUUUAUCCUUUCUUCUUCCUCACAGCUAUUCCAUAAGUCCAAACUCCAAUCAUCAUCUUCAAUCUAUUCUUCUCUGCCACUUUCAUCAAGAUUCUUGAUUUCCAUAAACAGAUAAUCAGAUUUACCAUUUCAGAAUAUCUGAAUCCAAAAGAGAAACUCCCUUUUUAAUUUAUCAAAAAUUGACCUUGUUGAGAUAUGGAUUAUCUCUUGCCCCAUAACUGAAAGAACCAUAUAGUGCGACAAAAAGGUUCAUUCCAAUUUGGACAGGUGUUUCUGCUAAAGCUAGGAACGUGAGUCAAACCUUUCUGUCCGAGGUCAACCUCCAAGAACAAGACCUCAUUUCAAGAUAACAGCAAAUAUGGAACCGCCACCAUCAGGGGUAAAGGCUCGAGCUUUAGAUAUUCCACUUUAUGAGAUUGGCUUUGAGUUUGUAGAAAUCACAUCCCACAAACUCACCGGCCGUCUUCCUGUGACAGAAAAGUGUUGCCAGCCCUUCAAGGUGUUGCACGGUGGAGUUUCAGCUAUGAUAUCUGAGGCUUUGGCAAGUAUGGGAGCUCACAUGGCUUCUGGUUUUUCGCGAGUGGCUGGAAUUCAUCUCAGCAUACACCAUCUCAAGAGUGGUCAAAUUGGUGACCUUGUUUUUGCUGAGGCUACACCAGUCAACAUUGGCAAAACUAUUCAUGUUUGGGAAGUUUGUCUUUGGAAGAUUGAUCCAAACAAUGAGGAAAACAAGACUUUGAUAGCAUCAUCAAGAGUCACCCUUAAGACCAACAUGCCUGUACCUGAAAAUGCCAAAGAUGCUGCUGUCAAUCUCAAGAAAUAUGCUAAGUUAUGAUCAACUUCAGUUGAGUUUUUGAUGGUAAGCAAAACAGUAGAGAUAACAAGGCAAUAAAGCAGAGCAAAGAGUAUUAUUUGGUGUGCAAAACAUGUUGUAAACCCCUUGCUAUUUGUUUGUCCUAUACGUUGUUUUGAAUACCCUAAUAAAAGUAAAAACUACAAUAUCUUAUGAUUUCUCUGGUUUUGCGGAUCAUAUUUGUUUACCGUUUUGCGGUCAAACCUUUCUAGUCUUAUUUGUUUUGAUACUUUUUGGUUGGUAUAGUGAAGUGUUGUUAUGUGAGACAUAUAUUACCUUACCCCUACUCCGAGGAGCAGAGAGGCUGUUUCCUGGAGACCCUCAGCUCAUAAGAGAUAUAGGAAAUACGAAAAAGAUAAAAGGUAUACUAAUAUCCAACAUAUAAAGCCCUAUAUCAGUAGAUUGAUCAGUAGCAUCCUAAGACUAACUCCUAAUAGACUAAUCUCACUCUAGUUUGUUGUAGAAAUAUCCACAGCUUUCCCCAAACCUACAACCUUAAUGCUCGACCUCCACA